rnacentral:rRNA from 1 species
AGUUUUUAUAUUUAAUUAAAAAUAUAAUCUGCCCAUUGAAAUUUUAUUUUGAAAGGCUGCAGUAUUUUGACUGUACAAAGGUAGCAUAAUAAUUAGAUUUUUAAUUGGAAUCUAGAAUGAAUGGUUAAAUGAAAUAAAAUCUUUUUUAAUUUUAAUAAUUUAAUUUUAUUAAUUAGUUAAAAAGCUAAUAUUUUUAAAAGGGACGAGAAGACCCUAUAGAAUUUUAUAAGUAAUUAUUAAAAUAUUAUUUUUAAAUUAUUAUUUUAUUAGUUUAUUAUUUUAUUGGGGAGAUAAAUAAAUUUUUAAAACUUUAUAUAUUAAAUUCAUAAAUAAAUGUUUUAUUGAUCUUUUUUUAUAGAUUAAAAAUUUAAAUUACCUUAGGGAUAACAGCAUAAUAGUUUUAAAAAGUUCUUAUUUUUAAAAAAGUUUAUGACCUCGAUGUUGAAUUAAAAUUAUUUUUAUAUGAAGAAAUAUAAAUAAUAAGUCUGUUCGACUUUUAAAAUUUUACAUGAUUUGAGUUCAAAUCGGUGUAAG